AUACGGGGGGGGCAAGCGUUGUUCGGAAUUACUGGGCGUAAAGGGCUCGUAGGUGGCCAACUAAGUCAGACGUGAAAUCCCUCGGCUUAACCGGGGAACUGCGUCUGAUACUGGAUGGCUUGAGUUUGGGAGAGGGAUGCGGAAUUCCAGGUGUAGCGGUGAAAUGCGUAGAUAUCUGGAGGAACACCGGUGGCGAAGGCGGCAUCCUGGACCAACACUGACACUGAGGAGCGAAAGCCAGGGGAGCAAACGGGAUUAGAUACCCCGGUAGUCCUGGCCCUAAACGAUGAAUGCUUGGUGUGGCGGGUAUCGAUCCCUGCCGUGCCGAAGCUAACGCAUUAAGCAUUCCGCCUGGGGAGUACGGUCGCAAGGCUGAA
rnacentral:rRNA from 1 species